UCAGCUACCCGAUCAUAUUGAAAUCCAGUUUAGCUCUGGUUCUCUAUGUGACGUUUGCGCUCAAUUUUUGGGCACCCUUCAACCUGGUGUGGUACUACAUCAAGGUGAAACACAACCCGGACAAGUAUUGGUGUAUCGAGCGGAUGUACAGAGGUGUAUUUGUGACCGGGCUUAUCUUGCUCGCUAUCGCAUUCCCGAAUAUCAACGCCGUUAUGGGAUUUCUGAGCUAGUUCUGCAUCUCAUUGAUGAGCUUCCUGUUUCCGUCGUACAUCAAGCUGACAGAUCGGUUCCUUCGGCAUCAGUUUCUCGGCCUUCAUGUUCCCAGCGACCAUCGAGAUCGCAGUCAAGUGGCACGAGCCAGGCCUGGGCUGGCGCAAGUGGCGGCUCUACAAGUUCAUCACAAUUUUCGCUUUCGGCGUGUUUCUAUGUCUACUGGGAGGCUACUGCAACGUCAAGAACUUGCUGACGG